CUUAACAAUGUCAAAUGCAGUUUUCUGAGGGGGAAAAAAAAUGUUGAAUUUUUUCUUUUUCAAGUGUUUUCCAGGCUGCACCUCUGCUUCAGCCAUGAUCUCAACCCUCAACCAAUCAUUUCAGCAUGUCCUUCAUCCUCAAAGGUGCAGGCAGAAUACCAUUUGAUCUCUUAUUUCUCAACAUAGAGGCAUCAUGGAAGAAUGUAGUUGAGGUCCAUCACAAAGCUAUGACUGAGGAUGCCAAACUACAUCUCAAUGAAAAGAGAUACAGGACGUGGAAAAGGAUGGGUGGAAGUAUCAGUGGAUAUGAAGUAAGCCAAGGAUCUGGGAGGCCUCAGAGCCUUGAAGAGUAAAUGAAGGUCUGUAUAGAUCAGCCUAACUGGUCUAGAUGCCGUCUUGUUCUCAUUCAUCUUGUCUGCUGCCAGGGAUUUCUGCCUGUUCUGUAAGGGCACAUCGGUAGGUAAAGAAAAAUACUUUCAUCCUGCUGCCAGAAUUCACUACCGUGGGAGCCUUCAAUGCCUACUCUCUUCAAUGUAACCUCUGACUAUCUUUUCCUGCUGUGUUUUGGACAAAGACAUCUGCUGCAUUUUUGAGAAGAAACCAUUAGUUGUCUUAUUUGUCUUCCCUGUUGCCAUGCAAGUAAUCAGCUAAAUGUCAGGGUAUCUUUUGUUUUUGUUUUUGUUUUUGUUUUUGUUUUUGUUUUUGUUUUGUUUUGUUUUGUUUUGUUUUCCUUUUAAUGUUUUUCUUGCUCAGAUGUUUCUUUCCCCCCUUUUUCUUCAAUGUGCCAAAGAUGUGGGGAAACAUCAAGAAUUACAAUAGCUGCGCAAUUUUCAUAUGAUUUACCUCAUUUCCACUUAUCCCCAUAUGAUCAUCAAUACAGUUUGCUAUAUAGUACAGCCUAAUUCCGCUUUUACAAUCCUGGGAUUUUAGUCAAAAGUCACAUUUGUAUCUACUUGGCAUUAUCUUCUUGAUUGACUGCAGCAGUCUAAUGUCCUAGUCAAGGAUCAGUUCUUUAUUGUGCUAGAUGUUGUUUAAAAAAAAUGGAAAAAGAUCUCACUCUGCAGAACAUUCAAAUAUGGGACAGGAACAAAAAAAUAUGAAAAAGGAGGAGAAAAGCAUUUUUUCAGUGCGUACAUUGUCUUGAUAAUUUACUCAUGAUAUGGUGUGGUUUCAUGAAGUAUAUGUAAAUUCAUACUUCUAUAAAGGGAAAUCUUAAAGCAUGUUGAAGAAAACUUGAAUCUCUAUCUGCAGUCUUCUAACACUUC
rnacentral:lncRNA from 1 species